GUGGGGAAUAUUGGACAAUGGGGGGAACCCUGAUCCAGCCAUGCCGCGUGUGUGAAGAAGGCCUUUUGGUUGUAAAGCACUUUAAGCGAGGAGGAGGCUUACCUGGUUAAUACCUGGGAUAAGUGGACGUUACUCGCAGAAUAAGCACCGGCUAACUCUGUGCCAGCAGCCGCGGUAAUACAGAGGGUGCAAGCGUUAAUCGGAUUUACUGGGCGUAAAGCGCGCGUAGGUGGCCAAUUAAGUCAAAUGUGAAAUCCCCGGGCUUAACUUGGGAAUUGCAUUCGAUACUGGUUGGCUAGAGUAUGGGAGAGGAUGGUAGAAUUCCAGGUGUAGCGGUGAAAUGCGUAGAGAUCUGGAGGAAUACCGAUGGCGAAGGCAGCCAUCUGGCCUAAUACUGACACUGAGGUGCGAAAGCAUGGGGAGCAAACAGGAUUAGAUACCCGAGUAGUCC
rnacentral:rRNA from 1 species